CCUACGGGAGGCAGCAGUGGGGAAUAUUGGGCAAUGGGCGCAAGCCUGACCCAGCAACGCCGCGUGAAGGAAGAAGGCUUUCGGGUUGUAAACUUCUUUUCUCAGGGACGAAGAAAGUGACGGUACUUGAGGAAUAAGCCACGGCUAACUACGUGCCAGCAGCCGCGGUAAUACGUGGGUGGCAAGCGUUAUCCGGAUUUACUGGGUGUAAAGGGCGUGUAGGCGGGAAAGCAAGUCAGAUGUGAAAACCAUGGGCUCAACCUGUGGCCUGCAUUUGAAACUGUUUUUCUUGAGUACUGGAGAGGCAGACGGAAUUCCUAGUGUAGCGGUGAAAUGCGUAGAUAUUAGGAGGAACACCAGUGGCGAAGGCGGUCUGCUGGACAGCAACUGACGCUGAGGCGCGAAAGCGUGGGGAGCAAACAGGAUUAGAUACCCCAGUAGUC
rnacentral:rRNA from 1 species